CCGCGGCGAUCGUGGGGUCCGCGGAUGCCUGUCCCGCAGCUCACCACGGCAGCUAGACGCCAGCCUCUCUGCUCCCGGGUGGGCGCCGGAGACUCGGCGGGAAGCAGCGAGGAACUUGUCCUGAGAGCUGUCGCCGCGGGCCUCAUUGUCUGCAGCAACUCUCCGGGAUCCGGAGUGGGAGGACUGGACUCUGUCCACUGGGAUUUGCCUAGAGUUCCGGCGGCAGCUGUGGCGGCUGCGAAGACUCUCUUUGUCCUCUCAGGACUUAGCUCUCUCUCCUCGGUGGCAGCUGUUGGGUGGCUCUGAGUUUGGAGUGGGCAACCCA